AGAGGUACGGAAUAACAGUUGGAAACGACUGCUAAUACCGUAUGAGCCCGAGAGGGGAAAGAUUUAUCGCCUUUGGAGGGGCCCGCGUCAGAUUAGGUAGUUGGUGGGGUAAUGGCCUACCAAGCCUUCGAUCUGUAGCUGGUCUUAGAGGAUGAUCAGCCACACUGGGACUGAGAUACGGCCCAGACUCCUACGGGAGGCAGCAGUGGGGAAUAUUGGACAAUGGGGGCAACCCUGAUCCAGCAAUGCCGCGUGAGUGAUGAAGGCCUUCGGGUUGUAAAGCUCUUUUGCCAGGGACGAUAAUGACGGUACCUGGAGAAUAAGCCCCGGCUAACUUCGUGCCAGCAGCCGCGGUAAUACGAAGGGGGCUAGCGUUGUUCGGAAUUACUGGGCGUAAAGGGCGCGUAGGCGGUCUGAUAAGUUAGGUGUGAAAUUCCCGGGCUUAACCUGGGCGCUGCACUUAAUACUGUCGGGCUUGAAUCCGGGAGAGGAUAGCGGAAUUCCCAGUGUAGAGGUGAAAUUCGUAGAUAUUGGGAAGAACACCAGUGGCGAAGGCGGCUAU
rnacentral:rRNA from 1 species